UUAAGCUCAAUGAGAGAAGGCCAAGGGUUUGCAGCGCGGUCAACAAAGCAAAGGGUGCCUACUUUCAGGAUUCUAAAAUAUAUGACAUAUUUGAAGUUAUUUUUCAUUUGGUACAUAAUUCCAUAUAUCUUGCUUCAUAUAUUUGAUCUCUUCAGUAUGUAUCUACAUUGUAGAACGCUAUAAAAAUAGAGAAAAACAAAUAAAUGAGAAGAUAUGUCCAAACUUUUGACUGGUAGUGUAUUUACCACUAAAAGCAGAGAUGUUGAUCAUUGUCUGUAAAGUUAAUGGAACUUUAAGGUCAAGCUUGAGCUACCAUUUAAAUUUGGUUUUCCUUAAAUUUGACACCGCCUUACCAUUACUCUUUAGCAGGUUUGUGUUUUUACAGAAUGGCUCAUGAAGUAAAGCAGGUCAUCUGCUAAUCGUACGGUUGGUGGCUGGAGCAGUCAAUCACCAACCGUAAACCAAAGUAUGCUUGGGCAAGACACUGAAUCCCAAGUUGCUCUUCGAUGUGAAGUGUGAAUGUGUGGGAAUGUUAGUUAGAAACCAUUAAGGCAUAUAAGAAAGUGUUUGUAUUGGUGAAUGAGGCAUGUUGUAUAAAGUACUUUGAGUGCUCAAGUAGAGAAGAAAAGCACUAUAUAGGAAUCAGUCCAUUUUCCAUCCAUAAAAGCACAAAUAAUUCUAUAGGGGGCUCUUAAAGAACACUUUUCUCCAUAUAUUAAAUCCACCGGCGUCUCCCCUUAACCAGCAACCAGUAAAAUCACCUCAACAUAUGGCAAAUGAAACUCUAGAGAUCCAGCAAAUUCCUAUUCUAAUCCAAUGACAACAUGAUUACUACAGAAGUGCUCCCCGACAAUGCGCACUUGUCCUUCAGUUUCCUUUUGAGUCCCGUAUUCAUUCGCGGUGCUGCGAGCAGAGAAUGGGAAAGUGUGAUUAUACAGUAUAGAGCUGGUGAGGGGAGUGUGUCAAAGCGUGCAUGCCACACAAUGUGCCUGGAGAGAUUGAUGUUUUUGUCAUCCACCUGCUUCAAAGCUGUAAAAAAAAAAAAAGCCGGCUGAUGCAAAUAGAGAAACCUAGGCAGGCAAGCUCACAAACAAAAGAGGGAGAACCUCACUGCUCCUCUUUGCACGUCUGUUUUUUUUUUUUUUUUUUGAGGAAUAUCUGAGGUUUCUGUUUUGACGCACAUUAGGCUCAAAUGAACCCUGACUCUGAGUCUUGUAUCUGGGAGUGGGUAAGUGUUUGAAUGCCCUUUUUUUCAGUUCUCUUAGGGAAGUGGGAACAAUUUAAGGCUGUUGUUGCUUUUUUUUCUCUUUCUUUCUUUUUUAAAUAUGAUGCAUCGGCACAGUGGCAGUGGGAGAAGGAAGCAGCUUCCCUCCCUCUUUCUCUGUCUUUCUCUUGGCUCGCUCUCUCCUUCUUGUCACAGAGACAAAUUCUGCAGGCGUGCGACACGGCCGGCUUUAAUGGCAUUCCAGUUGCAAAAAAAAAAAAAGGGCGUCAAAAUGUAGCAUCUGAGGAUAGCAGAGGGGCAAUAUAGGCGUGUGAGUGGAAAUGGGGCAUGCAGGCAUGGGUGGGAGUGCUGGGAGGAGAGAAAGCAGCCAGGGUGGCACGUUGACUGGAGCAUCGCCAACCACUGUCAAACAGCAUGCAACAGGCGUGGGCAGUAAUGCCUGUGUGAUUGGGCUGUGCUGGGUGAUGAUUUUAAUAAACACACACCCGCAGAGGUGGCCACAGGUCAACCGUGUUUGGAUUCAUCAGAUGCACAGGUGUUGCAGGAAUUCUGAGCUUCCCGGGAAAGAUUGUUGCCCAGGGAUAAGGCUUUGCUGACUGGCUUCUAGAGAACGUAGUUUGUGGUCCUCCAGGUACACACAAAGACCCAAGCUGGAAUGAGAAGCUCUGUGGUGGGCUGGACCCACACCUGGACCAUAUUUCACCAGGGUGCAUACUGGACAAUGGGUUGGAUCACUGGUGAUGGCAUAUUCUUAUCCGGAUAAUGCUGUGAUACAACAGAUAAUACAAAAUCCUUCCAAAGAUUCAGCAGCUAUUCAGAAGGCCAUCCUUGAUCUGCUCCCAUCUGAUUUUGUAUAUUUUGCUGUAUGCAAUUUUGUGGACACUCUUGCAAAACAUAUUUUCAAUUUCAUAAUAAAAAUGCAUUAAAAAUACCUUUGAUGUUAUUAAUGAGAACAUUCAAAAGUAAAUGAACUACACAUGUGUCUCAUAAAUCCCUAAGAUGCACCAGAGGGGCGGUCAAAGCUAGUCAUAUAUGCUUGGACAGUCUUUGAGUGCAUUUCCUGAAAAAGAAUAUAGUCAAUGUAAAUAGAGCCUGCAAAUCUAAAUAGACAUUGCUACUCUGCUAAAGGAACAUAAUCUAAAAUUCUGGACAGUUGCUUUCAUGCACUGCAACAUUACGGAGUGAUUUUAAGGUGAAAGCCAGCAUGAAUAUACAACUACAUACUCGUGUAUGAGUAUGAGUAAGUAUUUGGGUUGUCUCUGGUGUCUGUACUGCUGUUUUAUAUUUGCUGCAGCUGUUUCUGUUCAUGGCUUCAUGCACCAAUAAGACAAGUAGUUAUUAAAAAACAAAAAAAGAAAAAAAAAGUUUGUGGGAACAGAAGAGAUUUUAAAUUCUCUCGAUUCAGCCCUAAAAACAUAAAAAGGGACAAUAAUUCAGACUAAACAGGAAGCCACAUUAAUAGCUGUCCCCUGUCGGGCAGCUAUCAGUCAGCGUUAGCGAAUCCACAAAAGUUUGGCAGCCAUCGCAUGAACAGCUGGAGUUGUGAUCAUUCUUUCCAUUUUCUUUGACACCUACUUAGAAUAGAUUAAUGAAAAAUGAAACGCCUUUCAGAUGUUCUUUCUGCACUUGCUCACUCACUCCGCUUCACUCAUGCUAUUAAAUGUACUGUUAAGGAGUGAAGACAUUAACAAAGUGCAACAGAUAAUGUGGACAUUUUGUGCGUAAGCUGCGAUAUGAGAGAUGUAUUAAUGGAGGGAAAUUAUUGCGCAUUCAAUUACGCCACAAUGCCUUCCAGAGAGGUUUGUGCGAUUUUGCAGCGGCCUGUCACGACGGGGGUCCCCCCCACCACCACCACCACUACCACCACCUCGUCUGACUGAUGAGCACCCUAAUCUGCUAAUGCUAAUCUCAGCAAACGGAGUGGAGGUGGUUUUGAUGUGUGUGUGUGGCGAUGGUGGUGGCGGUGGUGGGGGGUUAUCUGACGAGCCAAACGCCUCGACUCGCAGCUCGCUAACGGUGGCCAAUAAAAUUAAAGAGCCGGUGUGUGCCCGGGCGGCAGAGGAAGACGAGGGAGGAAAUCAGAGAUAGAUAAACAAAUAGAAUCAUAAAAAGGCAGGGCGCUGGUGAAGUGGUAAUUCAGUGGGAGUUCAUUAGGGGAGAGAUGGAGGAAUGAGGAGUGGAGGGCUAAACUGUGGAUGACAUUACCUCUAAUGUGGCUCCCCUGCAGAGUUUGUGAUAGGGUGGCCGUUCCCGGCGAAAAUAGGGUUUUUAGCAUGACGCCACGCUCACAAAGACAAACUCCCACUAAAUAGGAUUUUUUUUUCUUAAGCAUUGUACUAUUUUAUUCCCGAAAAACAUCUCCAAAUGGGGUUUUCAAAUGCGCUCAGGCAUACAGCCAAGUUGAGACAACAUGGACAAAUGAGUUUUGUGGUGUGGCAAAUUUGUACAGCGCAAUAAUGUUUGGAGCACUGAGCCUAAAGCAACAUUUUUCUGUCAUAAAAAAAGAAAAAGAAAAAAAACAGACCACCCAUCAGUUGCAUUCCAUCAAUUAUACUAAUAUGAAACAGGACUUGUUCUGGACAGAGUGCAAUUGUUGUCUGUCUAAUGUGAAGCUGCUCAACAUUCACUGACCAAUUAACCUGUCAGCACUUUUUCUUGAUGCUGAAAUGUUCAUUUUUCCUCCUCAUUUUUCAUGUCAGUGAGCAUCGUUUAAUCACUUAAAGGGUCACUUCACCCAAUUUACCAAAAAAGAUAUUUUCUCCCGUAGGUCUAGCUGUAUCUAUCCAUGGAGAAAGAUUUGGAUUUAUUUGUUCAGAUUGUCAUUGUUCCCGAGACCUCUUCCUCUACCCUGUGCCUAAUGUAUUUCCACUUAACUUUUCAAGCCCUGUCAUUCUCUACUUUUCUAACGCAUGCCCUUGGGUAUCCCAGUCCCCUGGCCAAUCCCUUCUUAUAUACACCCAUGUGUAGACCUGCUUCUACAGUGAGUCUGUCACAACCAAAUCUCACUUCUUAAGAACAUGAUGACACAUAAUGGUUAAGGAAAAUGGCAAAGGAAACUCAGCUGGGAGCCUUCUAGUGUUUUUAUGUUACAUUUAUUGAUAAUGGUGGCUCUAAUCAAACACAAGAUUCAUAAACUCUCAGUAAGGAGACCAGAUCUAUUUUCUUACUCCUCCCAGUUCAAGUGUAUAAUCCUAGCUGUGGUGAGUGCUGCAGGACAAACAACUCUGGCUGCCAUUCAUCUGUAGUGAGUGUAGUGCUGUUUUUGCAGUUGUUAGCUGCUGUUAGUGAACCUUUCUUUGAAGUGUAUCUAACAGUUAUGUUGCCUCUUUUCCUUUGCAUUUUUGCUCCUUUGUUGAAUGGGACCCCACUCAAUGAUAAAACAUAGUUAUGAACCUUUAUAACUUGAGUCUGAAGGUGCAGACACAAAUUAAAAUGAGUCUCCAUGGCACACAAACACCUAUGAGUUCUCUUGGCUGGCUACAUAAAAAGCGAUUAGGUGUUUUAAAUCAAUGUACAUGUUAACAUCUGAACAAGUCACAUUAAAUGUCACUCAAAAUUGUGUUGGUGGUAGGUAACAUGAUCUUAGUUCAGCAGGAAUGAGAUGAACUAAUUUUAGUGCAGUGAACCGAUGCACUUCUACAUAUCCAAUUCACCAGUCUCAUAGAGACUAUGCUAGGCUAGGCCGCUAGGCCGCCUCCAUUCAUGCAGCAUGUGAAUGUAUGUGAGCAUUGUCAUAAAUGUUGAUUUUGAUUCCUGCCUCUGUUCUGACAGGGACUCCACACUCCAACAGAAAAAAAAAUCAAACGUAUUUUUGAUUAAUAAAAUUUUUGUUGUUCCUGACUUAAUUAUGAUCUUCCUUCAUCCUCCAGAGAAUACAAAAAAAUAGACAUAGUUACAGGAACUAUAUUUACGGAUUAGGGCUAGGUUAAUUUUUACUCGUAAACGCCUUCUAGUUUCUAAAACUACGCUUGUUUAGCUAAAAUGUCAUGCAUCCCCACCCCUUAGUGCUUCCCCAACUAAUGUGAACAUAGAGUAUUUAGUAGUUAUAUACAAAACAUAGAGUCUGCUAAUAUUUCCUCCCUUCA